ACCCAUUCCAUCACUAUCCUCAUCCCCAACUCCCAAUUUAUCUCCCUCACAUCCUUACACUCCUCCAACAUCCCCUCGAAAGAUUUCACCCAUUUCAUCACUAUUCCCAUCCUCAACUCUCAAUUUAUCUCCAUUGCAUCCUUAUACUCCUCCGACAUACCCAUCAAAAAUUUCACCAAUUCCAUCAACUCCUUAUACUUCUGAUCCUCCACCCCUUUCACCUAUCCUCAAAUCUGCACCUCUUUUAAGGUUUACACUUCCUCCCUUCUUUCCCUUUAAAUCCCUGCUACCUCCAUCUCCUUCUCCCCCUCCACCUAUCCUCAAAUCUUCACCUCCUCCAUGGUUCUUUUUGCCUCCCUUUUUCUUUAAACCCCCACCUCCUCUAUCUCCAUAACCUUCUUCAUCCAAUAAUUAACCUCCACCUCAUUCAAAAAUAUCUUACAAAAUUGAUUAUAUAUGGUUAAUGAUGGCAGUGGGUUUCUUCAAGGAGACUACAUAUUAGAUAAUGCAUGUAUUGAAAAUGUAAUCAGUUGAAAAAAAGUCGAUUGUGCUCCAUCAAUCAUGCCAAAAUAAUAUCAUAGAACAUUAGUUAUUGUAAUAAUAUAUGGAUAAUAAGGAGGAAAAUAUUAUGUUUGUUAAAAAGCAUUAUAAUUCUAAAUGAAUGUCUUUUAUUGUGAU